CCUACGGGUGGCAGCAGUGGGGAAUAUUGGACAAUGGGCGAAAGCCUGAUCCAGCCAUGCCGCGUGUGUGAAGAAGGCCUUCGGGUUGUAAAGCACUUUCAGUGGGGAAGAAAGCCUUGGGGCUAAUACCCUCGAGGAAGGACAUCACCCACAGAAGAAGCACCGGCUAACUCCGUGCCAGCAGCCGCGGUAAUACGGAGGGUGCGGGCGUUAAUCGGAAUUACUGGGCGUAAAGCGCGCGUAGGCGGUCUGAUAAGCCGGUUGUGAAAGCCCCGGGCUCAACCUGGGAACGGCAUCCGGAACUGUCAGGCUAGAGUGCAGGAGAGGAAGGUAGAAUUCCCGGUGUAGCGGUGAAAUGCGUAGAGAUCGGGAGGAAUACCAGUGGCGAAGGCGGCCUUCUGGACUGACACUGACGCUGAGGUGCGAAAGCGUGGGUAGCAAACAGGAUUAGAUACCCGGGUAGUC
rnacentral:rRNA from 1 species